CGAAGAAAGGGAGGGGGAUAAUCAAUGACUGAACCUCUAAUAGAUGUUGGACGACGUUAAAAAAAAAAAUGUAUCGGCCCUACCCUCGAGGAUUUGACAAAUUAGACUGACCAGAGUGAUAAGAGAUACAGGCAGAAGAGGAGACAUAGACACACACAGAGGAGAAGAUGAUGUGAAAAGGGAGGCAGAGAUCACAGUGGUGUGGCUACAAGCCAAGAAAUACCGAAGCCAUCAGAAGUUGGAAGAGAUUUUCUUCCACCUCUGCCAUCUCUGAGACAGCAAGACCAACCUCUUCUCUUCCUCCUCCUCCUCAGCCUACUCAACAUGAAGACAACAAGGAUGAAGACCUUUAUGAUGAUCCAUUUCCACUUAAUGAAUACCACCAAGAGUGCUGAACAAUCAUCUGAGGACAUCAUUGGGUAUCACUGGCAAAGAGAAGAGAUGAAGAAAAGAUAAGAGAAAGAAAUGAAAGUGGAAGAGGGCAGAAAAAGAGAAACAAAAGUUAGGAGAGUUUUCAGGAGGAGAAAAUAAAGAGAAGACAGAGAAGGAAGUAUCCGGUAAGGAAACAAAUACAGAUGUAAUCCAGUUGGGAUACCAGGCUUUCAUUAGGAUAUUCUCUCCCUUUUUCUCCUUAGAUCCACAUUUGUCAGGACGCCAAUUCACCUAAUCAUAUCUGCCAUAUAUUUUCCAUCUAAGUCACCUUGACAAGCUAUCAUUAACCUUGUAGCCCAUGUGUGUCUCAGAAUCCACUCUUCUCCCCACCUACUGGCAUGUAUAUUUAUUUUUAUGUAAGUAUUUCUGCUGGAAUUUAUCUAUUAUUGUACUUUAUUCACCAUUCUUCCUUUCUUGCCACUAAUAAAAUUGCAGUUUCAUGAGA